rnacentral:rRNA from 1 species
GACGAACGCUGGCGGCGUGCUUAACACAUGCAAGUCGACAUUAGUGGCGAACGGGUGAGUAAUACGUGGUUAACCUGCCCUACUUUUUGGGAUAAGCCUCGGAAACGGGGUCUACUACCGAAUAAAGGGGGCGGGGCUCGCGGCUUGUCAGGUGGUUGGUGGGUUGAUGGCCUACCAAGGCGGUGACGGGUAGCCAGCCUGAGAGGGUGACCUGGAACAGUGGGACGGUGAAAAGGCCCAGGCGCCGACGGGAUGGAGCAGAGGGGGCUAUUGGAGAAUGGGUGAAAGACCGAUGCAGCGAGGCUGCGGGGGGGAUUAGGGCUGUCGGGUUGUAAAAGUCUUGAGCAAUCGAACCGUUAGCUGCAGAAGAAGCGCCGGCUAACUACGUGCCAGCAGCCGCGGUAAUUC